rnacentral:rRNA from 1 species
GAGUUUGAUCUUGGCUCAGAUUGAACGCUGGCGGCAGGCCUAACACAUGCAAGUCGAGCGGUAGAGAGAAGCUUGCUUCUCUUGAGAGCGGCGGACGGGUGAGUAAUGCCUAGGAAUCUGCCUGGUAGUGGGGGAUAACGCUCGGAAACGGACGCUAAUACCGCAUACGUCCUACGGGAGAAAGCAGGGGACCUUCGGGCCUUGCGCUAUCAGAUGAGCCUAGGUCGGAUUAGCUAGUUGGUGAGGUAAUGGCUCACCAAGGCGACGAUCCGUAACUGGUCUGAGAGGAUGAUCAGUCACACUGGAACUGAGACACGGUCCAGACUCCUACGGGAGGCAGCAGUGGGGAAUAUUGGACAAUGGGCGAAAGCCUGAUCCAGCCAUGCCGCGUGUGUGAAGAAGGUCUUCGGAUUGUAAAGCACUUUAAGUUGGGAGGAAGGGCAGUAAAUUAAUACUUUGCUGUUUUGACGUUACCGACAGAAUAAGCACCGGCUAACUCUGUGCCAGCAG